UAUGUGAUCGUCUCUCGCAUAUCAAUAAGCGGAGGAAAAGAAACUAACAAGGAUUCCCCUAGUAACGGCGAGUGAAGCGGGAAGAGCUCAAAUUUGAAAUCUUAAAGGGUUUCCCUUUACGAAUUGUAGUUUAAAGAAGUGUUUUCUGUUGAGGUUUUGGUAAAAGUUCUUUGGAAUAGGACAUCAUAGAGGGUGAGAAUCCCGUAUUUGACCUUUACUUUCAACUUUGUGAUACACUUUCAAAGAGUCGGAUUGUUUGGGAAUGCAGUCCAAAAUGGGUGGUAAAUUUCAUCUAAAGCUAAAUAUUGGCGAGAGACCUGAUAGCGAACAAGUACCGUGAGGGAAAGAUGAAAAGAACUUUGAAAAGAGAGUUAAACAGUACGUGAAAUUGUCAAAAGGGAAGCGUUUGACACCAGUGUUGUUUUUCUGAAAAUCAAUUAAAGAACUGUUUAUGCUAAGCUGUUUAGACUUUAUCAGCUAAUCUGUUUAGUUUUGAGCUUUUCUUUAAUGCACUUUUCAGUUAACAAGUCGACAUCAAUUUCUUUUGCUGUAAAAAAGCUUGAGGAAGGUGGCUUGAGAUUCGUCUUAAGUGUUUAUAGCCUCUUGCCUAUGCAGUCGGAGAGAUUGAGGUCUGCAGCGUAGAUCCUUCGGGGCUAAAUGCAUUUGUGCUAAGUUGAUAGCAUUUUAUAGACAACUUGUUGACUAUGAUUUGUCUUGUAGCUUACUCGCUUAUGUUAUUUUACCUACGCUUAGGAUGUUGACUGAUAUGUAGUCGU
rnacentral:rRNA from 1 species